GGUUGGCAAGAGGAACAAUGGCUGAUGAUAACACUGCGAACUAUCCUUCCGUGAAAUUGUCCGAUUAUGCUCAAUCCUUAUCACCUGAGGCCCGACAAAUAUACGUCAACAUGCCCAGUAUGUACCUGACGGAUGCAGCAAAUGUUGCCAUUUUCCCUGUUGAGGAUGGUAGUUUCAGCUCCCUGGACCUGCGUGACCAUGACCACUAUGAGGUCCAUGGAGAAGCUGGGCAGACCCAAGAGAUGGGGCCAGCACCAGCCCAUGCACCAGCCGCAGGCUCAUCUCGCCAAUUUGCCUUUCGGAGUGGCCCACCAGUCACUGCAAACAUGAGCGUGCUGACAAGAUCGGUUUCCACUCCAAGGUCAUUUCACAGGGCCAUUCAUGUGUCCGACGUGGUGGAGGGGAAACUACUUUCAAGGAGAGUGGUCAUGGUGCGGUUUACGGAGGCGGAGGCAACUGUGUCCAUCAUCAUACACAAACUAAAGGUUGCCAUGGCAGACGAUGAGGACUACACCCUCACUGACACCGCCGGCAAUGAAA